rnacentral:rRNA from 1 species
CGUGCCUAACACAUGCAAGUCGAGCGGGGACAUACGACGGAACCAAAGUUUUCGGAUGGAGGUGAAGAUGUAUGUUCUAGCGGCGGACGGGUGAGUAACGCGUGAGCAACCUGUCCCUUACAGGGGGAUAACACAGCGAAAGUUGUACUAAUACCGCAUGAGACCACGAUGGGACAUCCCAUAGGGGUCAAAGGAGCAAUCCGGUAAGGGGUGGGCUCGCGUCCGAUUAGAUAGUUGGUGAGGUAACGGCCCACCAAGUCGACGAUCGGUAGCCGACCUGAGAGGGUGAUCGGCCACAUUGGGACUGAGACACGGCCCAAACUCCUACGGGAGGCAGCAGUGGGGAAUAUUGGGCAAUGGGGGGAACCCUGACCCAGCAACGCCGCGUGAGGGAAGAAGGUUUUCGGAUCGUAAACCUCUGUCCUUGGUGAAGAGGAAGAGACGGUAGCCAAGGAGGAAGCCCCGGCUAACUACGUGCCAGCAGCAGC